AUUGCCAGAGGACUUUUUCAGAAUGCACAAGACUAGCUUUGUCGGACAAUGUGGAGACAGACUCUGGGCCGAUUAUUACAAGGAUGGAGACGAUGCAGAGAAGUAUUAGUUGGGCAAGAGGGCGAUUGAUUGAGCCUGACUUGGCAGAUGAAAUGCAGGAUAUCAUUUCCGAGUUUCUUCAAGAGUUGAGAACACUCACUCAGCAGCAAGUUGGCCAAGGCUACCGGGCUCCUCAAGUUGUUGGUCGAACCACCAUAGGCUGAGGACGGCAAGGCAUAUGUCCCCCUACCAAAUUUUCAUUCGAGGUUGCCUUGCCCAACAAGCCCGAAAUCAGACUGCCAUCCAGGGAGUGUUUGGAGCUGAUGAACAACCAGUUGCAGGGGAUGACAUCCCAGCUGCAGAGGAUGAAGUGGCACCACCUAAUUUGGACUAUGCAGAAGCAGUCCAGGUUCCCAACAACCAGUUCAAUCUUGAGGAAGGACACAGGCACGAGCUGA